UACGGGGGGGGUAAGCGUUGUUCGGAAUUACUGGGCGUAAAGGGCUCGUAGGCGGCCAACUAAGUCGGACGUGAAAUCCCUCAGCUUAACUGGGGAACUGCGUCCGAUACUGGAUGGCUUGGAUUUGGGAGAGGGAUGCGGAAUUCCAGGUGUAGCGGUGAAAUGGCGUAGAUAUCUGGAGGAACACCGGUGGCGAAGGCGGCAUCCUGGACCAAUAUUGACGCUGAGGAGCGAAAGCCAGGGGAGCAAACGGGAUU
rnacentral:rRNA from 1 species